UACGGAGGAUGCGAGCGUUAUCCGGAUUUAUUUGGUUUAAAGGGUGCGUAGGCGGACUGUCAAGUCAGCGGUAAAAUUGAGAGGCUCAACCUCUUCCCGCCGUUGAAACUGGUGGUCUUGAGUGGAUGAGAAGUACGCGGAAUGCGUGGUGUAGCGGUGAAAUGCAUAGAUAUCACGCAGAACUCCGAUUGCGAAGGCAGCGUACCGGCAUCCAACUGACGCUGAGGCACGAAAGCGUGGGGAUCAAACAGG
rnacentral:rRNA from 1 species